rnacentral:rRNA from 1 species
GACGAACGCUGGCGGCGUGCCUAAUACAUGCAAGUAGAACGCUGAAGAGAGGAGCUUGCUCUUCUUGGAUGAGUUGCGAACGGGUGAGUAACGCGUAGGUAACCUGCCUGGUAGCGGGGGAUAACUAUUGGAAACGAUAGCUAAUACCGCAUAAAAUUGAUUAUUGCAUGAUAAUUAAUUGAAAGAUGCAAUUGCAUCACUACCAGAUGGACCUGCGUUGUAUUAGCUAGUUGGUGAGGUAACGGCUCACCAAGGCGACGAUACAUAGCCGACCUGAGAGGGUGAUCGGCCACACUGGGACUGAGACACGGCCCAGACUCCUACGGGAGGUAGCAGUAGGGAAUCUUCGGCAAUGGGGGGAACCCUGACCGAGCAACGCCGCGUGAGUGAAGAAGGUUUUCGGAUCGUAAAGCUCUGUUGUAAGAGAAGAACGGGUGUGAGAGUGGAAAGCUCACACUGUGACGGUAUCUACCCAGAAAGGACG